UACGAACUGUGCGAACGUUAUUCGGAAUCACUGGGCUUACAGGGUGCGUAGGCGGCUCAACAAGUCAGGUGUGAAAGCCCCCGGCUCAACCGGGGAACUGCGCUUGAAACUGUUAGGCUCGAGUCAGCUAGAGGUACACGGAACUUCCAGUGGAGCGGUGAAAUGUGUUGAUAUUGGAAGGAACACCGGAGGCGAAAGCGGUGUACUGGGGCUGGUCUGACGCUGAGGCACGAAAGCCAGGGAGCGAACGGG
rnacentral:rRNA from 1 species